rnacentral:rRNA from 1 species
CACGUAGGGCGCAAGCGUUGUCCGGAAUUAUUGGGCGUAAAGAGCUCGUAGGCGGUCUGUUGCGUCCGCUGUGAAAACCCGGGGCUCAACCCCGGACCUGCAUCCGAUACUCCCGGACUGGAGGCAGGUAGGGGAGAGCGGAAUUCCCGGUGUAGCGGUGAAAUGCGCAGAUAUCGGGAGGAACACCUAUGGCGAAGGCAGCUCGCUGGGACGUUACUGACGCUGAGACGCGAAAGCGUGGGGAGCAAACAGG